rnacentral:lncRNA from 1 species
UCUUGCUGUAUUGGCCAAAUAAGCGAUAGCGCGAGGUGAAUACAGCAAGACCGAGAUUGAUUAUUUUCCGGGACUGCAUUCAUUCUUGGUCAGUAAGUUAUUAGUAUUUACUAUUAUUUGUUGUGAAUUGUUAUUUAUUGUUUAUUGUGCAAAAGCACGGGAAUUUUUCACAAAAUCAUGCAUGAAAUUAUUUUAGAUUAAUAAAAUCAUACAGUCAUUAAUAAUUCAUGAGGAAAGUCGUAUCUUUAUAUCUGAUAGAGAUUUCCCUUGAUUUGAUUUUCUCGACUU